GAUGAAGAACGCAGCGAAAUGCGAUAAGUAAUGUGAAUUGCAGAAUUCAGUGAAUCAUCGAAUCUUUGAACGCACAUUGCGCCCGCCAGUAUUCUGGCGGGCAUGCCUGUUCGAGCGUCAUUACAACCAUCAAGCCCCAGGCUUGUGUUGGAGCCCUGCGGCUGCCGCAGCCUCCCAAAACCAGUGGCGGGCUCGCUAUCACACCGAGUGCAGUAGUUUACUCUUCGCUCAGGGCGUGUGGCGGGUGCUAGCCGUGAAACCCCCAACUUCUCAAGGUUGACCUCGGAUCAGGUAGGAAUACCCGCUGAACUUAAGCAUAUCAAAAGCGGAGGA
rnacentral:misc_RNA from 1 species